AUGCAGCAUUUUCAAUUCAUAAGUGAUAAAAGAUUUAAAACAUCCAAGGAGGGGUUAAUGCAUCCGGGGCUUGCCUUGGUUGCAGGGCAGAGAGGGACCCUCGGAGACUUCCCAAGUCUCGGAUCCGACUUCCUCGAACGGAGCACCGACCUCGGGGUUCGGUUCAACGGGCGCUCCUUCGGUCACGGACACUAUACGCAAAAAUGAUGAAUGCUCAUGAUAUGCGUAUGACAAAUAUGCAAGAAGGACCAAAUCAAGUACAAUUUGCCUUCUUAAUACAAUACAGAAUAAUCAGUAAAUAAAGUUGUUUAACAUCUUAAUGCUUUUACCCAAGAGGUUGCAUCUGCAAAAUAAAAUCUCUUUUAACCCAUAAUUAACCUGAAUUAACUAAUUAUUAAUCCUAUUUACCUUAAUUAAUUCUUAAUUAACUAUUAAUGACAGUAAUUAAGCAUUAAGGCUAAACAAUAAUUAAAUGCCAAAGGUCAUUAGGGUUAAUGACCUCAGGUCAUCACACAAUCCCCAAAAUCACUCAACCCUAAUGAUGAGGAUUUAACUAAUUAUUAUUUAAUUAUUUUGGAAUUAUUACUUAGGUACUAAAUAAGGGUUUAUUAAUAUUUUAUUCAAACAUUAUCCAAAUGCCACCAAAUUUUGGGUGGAGCCAGGGAAUAAUAUUCAGAGGCUCUCCACAAUUUUUGGUGAUUUUUGGACACCUUAAUAAAUUACUAAAAUUCAUAGAAAUUUUAUUUGCUAAUUAAAAGGGCCAAUUUUUAUAUCCUUGCAAACUAUUAGAAAGCAGAAUCUAGUAUUUUUCUUGGAUCCUACAUAUUUCAGAGAGUUUAUACAAAAAUUCUCAUUAUUUUUGGAUCAUCACACAAUUUAUUACACAAAUUCAAAUAUAAACAAAAACUGCAUAAAAGAAAGAAAAAAAAAAGAAAAGACACUGCAGCGGGUGGUCGGAUUUCGGCCCGCAGGCCGGCCCGCUUCGGCUCGGCCCGCGCGGACGCUGCGCACGCCGCCUUCUCUCCGCGCGGUCGCUGACAAGCGGGGCCUGCUCGUCAGGCCCCUCCCCCCUUCCAGCGAGACGCUGACAGGACGGCCCC
rnacentral:lncRNA from 1 species